UCUCCCCUCCCGGGGCAUCUCGGGGCCGCGGGGCUGCGCAGAGCUCGGCCGUCGCUCCGAGGCCCCCGGAGGCUGCUGUCCCCGCGCGGGUGUGGACGCCCCCAGCGUGUGCGAGGCGGCGCCCAGGGCCCGGGGGAGCACGAGCAGCCCCCGCCGCCGUCCAGCCCCCCGUGCGGGCUCCACCUGCGGCCAGACCUGCGGACGCGAACGUCCAGCCGCGUCCACGUGCGGCCGAGCCCGCGGGGCGGUCAGAUGAGGGCCACCUGCGGGGUCACGUGCAGAAGCCCUCCAGCCUUGGCCGCACAGCAAAGUCACUGUGAGGAAGAGCCAGUGCCCUUCCCACGGAGGCCGAGGGCCCAGAAUCUACUGGGAGGAAUGCCUCACCCACAAGCCAGGACCAGAGACGCUCUUGAAAUGCUGCUCAGAAUUUUGGAUACACAUGUGCCGGCCCCUCUUCUCCUGGGAUGCGGAAGCAAACCCUGAUGUUUAAUCGUGCUGUGGCUGCACCCGUACAGGACAAUGUGGUGACGCAGAUGGACAAAGGGAUUAAAGAGAUACUGGGAGCCAACGUUGCGUAACCCGGAGCCCCAGGCCGAGGACAGGACUCCUCCAAGCUGUGGCCUCCUGAUUGACAAGAAAGGCCAGUCACGGCCCGUGACGGGAGAUGGUAGCCCCUGGCCGCCGCACAGAGGAAAAAAACUGCAGAUUUGGGGAGAAUGGAAGAAGUUUUCACAUAUUGAGGUGGGGGGGGGGAGUCAUUCUGAUUAUACAUGAGCUAACUCGAAUUAUAUGCUAACCAAACAGCCUGUGUGUGCUGUCCGACAUAUACUGCACAUCUGCUGUAAAGAAAAGGGUGCACUGACCAGAAGUAAAGAAUGUCCAUGUUAAAAAUAAAGAUGAAAUGCCUCCCUUUCUGGGACGGCAGUGCUGGUUUCUCCUUUGAUGGUAAGACUCCCUUCACAGGUGCCAAGGCCACCCUGACUCGCUUUGUAUUUGCUGGUCCGUUUUUUUGAAACCUUGAAGGAAUGUGUCCCUCACUUGUUUGAUGUUGUUCGUUCUGACAGGAUAUAAAACUGCGCUGAAAGCCAUGCUUCUCUGCAGCAGAUCCUCAGAGCUACUGAGAGCCUGUCUCCCGGGCUACAGUCCUCAGUUUGGCUCAAAUAAAACUCUUUUCCAUUCCCAUUAUAGUUUGGUUAUUGAUUUUUUGUGUCGACAGGGAGUCCGUGAACUUCAGGCAUUUAGAUUUUCGUGUUUUUUGGUUUUUUAAAUAUUUUUUUAUUUAUUUGGCUGCACUGGGUCUUAGCUGCAGCAUGUGGGAUCUAGUUCCCUGACCAGGGAUCAAACCUGGACCCCCUGCAUUGGGAGCACGGAGUCUUAGCCACUGGACCACCAGGGAAGUCCCGAUGAUUUUGUUUUAUGCCAGGUUUUCCUCCUUUGCUAUCUGCCUCGAAAACCUUGAUUAGGAAAGAAACCCUCCCUUUAGAUGGGAAAAUCCAAGAGGAUUACAGUUGGAUAGUCUGCACCUCCCUGCCUGUCCUUCCCCUUUUAAAGUUUCUGUGACCCUACUAGGUUUUGGUUUUGCUGAGGACAUAGUUCAGUAUAAACCCGAGUAAGUUUGGCUGGGCUCGAAUGUCUUCAAUGAUCUAAUGAAAAGGUUGCCACACUCGUUCGUGGUCAGAAGAGACUGGGGCAGCGUGGAUGCCCUUUACCUUGGAGAAAUGGAGAGCCAGAAGCAGAAAGUUCUGUCUGCAGGGUAUCGACUGUGGGUGUACCUAGAGAGAGACAAGGGUCCUGUCCAGCUAGUCCCCAUGUGACAAUAAGUGUGACUUUCUCAACCUUGCCUCAUGUGACAAUGUUGGCCGAACUCAUCUCUGGAAAUGUUUUUCAGCCUAGAGAUCUUGACUCGGCAUUUUACUAAACCCCAAAGCCCUGCUUUACUGUCACCCGCCAGAUGCCGCGGAUGGCAACUGGGGGCUACGCACAGAGGCCUUGAUGGCAGACAGGACCCUGUAAUUCCAUCAACAGUCAGAGGAAGACAAUGCCAUCUUUUGGGGACUAAAACAGCUGUCUUCCAACAUGGAAGAACUAUAAAUGGGAGAGCCUUGUCCCUAUUCAUCAGAAUUUAACCAUGGGCUUAAACUGCCUUAGACGAGAAAGGAUUACUGUGGAAGAUUCCCUCUACCAAGCAGGUGGCAAGCAUACCAGCCCCGUCCUCGCCGCCUACUAACUGUGUGCCACUGGACAGGUCACCUGACGUUUCUUUGCCCUAGAGUCCUCAAUUCUAAACUGUGAUAUAACCGAUCUCAAAGGGCUGUUGGGAAGGAUAAGCCAAGGAAUGCUCUGGAAAUGGGUUCCAGAGAGCACACUGUUUUGUUUCCUAAUUCUUAGCAUGUCUACUAGGCUUCUGCGGACAUGUCAGAAUUUAGGACUUCGGAGCUGUCAGGGCUGCCCAGGACCGUGGGGCAAGAUGUGAUUUAACCGAAUUCUAGGCUCUCUCUAAGCGCACGUAGUAACUAAGCCUGCUGUCAAUACUUACAGCAGAGUCACAUAAGCCAGCAGAGGCUAUGGCACAGCUCCCUUUUCCACUUUACUUUCUUCUGUUGUUUCCCCCUCUCCUCUCUCUCGAAUCUGUAUUGUUCUUCUCUGAUUAGGCUUUAAUGGAGUCCAACCAAAUCACCCUAAUUGCACCCCCAGAAUAGCCAGUGUGAUCUUGUACUAUCUGAUGGAUGUGUAAAUUGGGGAAUCAUCACCACCAAAUGACUCAGAAACCUACAAGUGGCCUGGAAACUCAGAUCUUUGCAAUUUUAUCACUUUUAUGAGGACCUACUAUGCCCCUGGCACCGUGGUAGGUAUUUUAUGUGUUAAUUUCAUUUAAUCUUCACAACCAAUACGCUCUUGAAUUCUUCAUUGAACUUUGCCUUCUUUGAUGGUUGAAUGGUCAGGCCCCAUAAAUGGCUGCUCUCUUGCUCUCUGUACGUCCCCUGCCCAACCCGGCCCUGCCUCACCCCUGCCUUAUGCGCGUGGUUGCCUCCCCAUCUUAAUCUGAAAGUUUAAUCAGUAACUCUCCGCGUGAUCAGCCUGACCCCCAGCGAAUUAUUGUGCUACCCCGCGGACUGGAGCGGCUCCAGUGUGUUCAGUCAUCACCAGGAAACACCGACCCUCACGAUGGCUGCUAACCCAGAGCUGUGCGAGACCUGUUCCUUCAAGCAGCUCCCCCAUUGGCCAAGGGGUGCUUCUGACAACAUGCUCCCUAAAACUGAGAGCUCUCCCUCCCCACACUGAAGAUUGCUGCCGUGUCCUGCCUGCCCUGUGCCGUACACAGUGGGGUGUCACUCCAGGACCUUUGCCUCUGCCGUGUAAGAUUCCCCGUCCAAUAAACAGAUGCCUCCGUGGCUGUCUCCUGGCUCUUUCUUCCAUCUUCGCCGCUGGGCAAUUACAAGGACUGCAGGACUGAGGUGUGCAGCCCAACAAUGGUCUUUAUUCAUUUUUCUCCAUCCUUUCUCACGUGAAAUAACUCCCUUGGAAGAGCCUUGUGCUAUUUUUUAACUUUCCCAAAGAGAUUUUUCUGCUUUGGGCUUCCAUUUGUAUUUUGAUAGUACAAGGACUCUGCCAUUUUUACAGAGAUAUUUUCGAAUGUUUAAUCUGUUGUUCGGUCUGUUGAUCUCUUCUCUUCCUGAAGGCAAGCGUUCCUAAGAAUAAAAUAGGAAUUACUAUAGGCUCCCAAACUCUUCUAGAAAGUCUGGCCGAGGACUGAGGUCCCCAUCUCCCUCAGGACAACCACCAGCCAACCAAUCCUGGGGUACCUCGGGAAAGAACUGCACUCUCCACGCCUUUGAGAGCUGGGGGCUAAGCCCUAUUUUGAGCUUCUGACAUUUCUU